rnacentral:lncRNA from 1 species
AGAUUAGCCUUGUUGCCGAGAUCCAUGGAGCUGCCCAUCUUCUGCUGCACUCUCUCCCUCAGGGUGGUUUCUCUGAAGUGGGGUUCACACAGUCUGCCAAUGCUACUGAGCCUCAUAUCACUAUCAAGAUCAUGGAGACUCACGGUUUCAUGAUAUAGUCAAUCCUUAUGGGAAAGUUUCAGUGGCAGGAAUUUGAAGCCUUGGUCACAUUCGCAAUCAAGAAUAGAAAAAAAGAAAUACAUGCAAGCUC